rnacentral:rRNA from 1 species
AGAGUUUGAUCAUGGCUCAGAGCGAACGCUGGCGGCAGGCUUAACACAUGCAAGUCGAACGGACGCAGCAAUGCGUCAGUGGCAGACGGGUGAGUAACACGUGGGAACGUGCCCUUCGGUUCGGAACAACCCAGGGAAACUUGGGCUAAUACCGGAUACGUCCGCAAGGAGAAAGAUUUAUCGCCGAAGGAUCGGCCCGCGUCUGAUUAGCUUGUUGGUGAGGUAAUGGCUCACCAAGGCGACGAUCAGUAGCUGGUCUGAGAGGAUGAUCAGCCACACUGGGACUGAGACACGGCCCAGACUCCUACGGGAGGCAGCAGUGGGGAAUAUUGGACAAUGGGCGAAAGCCUGAUCCAGCCAUGCCGCGUGAGUGAUGAAGGCCUUAGGGUUGUAAAGCUCUUUCGGCGGGGAAGAUAAUGACGGUACCCGCAGAAGAAGCCCCGGCUAACUUCGUGCCAGCAGCCGCGGUAAUACGAAGGGGGUUAGCGUUGCUCGGAAUCACUGGGCGUAAAGCGCACGUAGGCGGAUUGUUAAGUCAGGGGUGAAAUCCUGGAGCUCAACUCCAGAACUGCCUUUGAUACUGGCGAUCUUGAGUCCGGGAGAGGUGAGUGGAAUUGCGAGUGUAGAGGUGAAAUUCGUAGAUAUUCGCAAGAACACCAGUGGCGAAGGCGGCUCACUGGCCCGGUACUGACGCUCAGGUGCGAAAGCGUGNNNNNCAAACAGGAUUAGAUACCCUAGUAGUCC